UACGUAGGGGGCAAGCGUUGUCCGGAAUUAUUGGGCGUAAAGAGCGUGUAGGCGGUCCGGUAAGUCCGCUGUGAAAGUCCAGGGCUCAACCCUGGAAUGCCGGUGGAUACUGCCGGGCUAGAGUCCGGAAGAGGCGAGUGGAAUUCCUGGUGUAGCGGUGAAAUGCGCAGAUAUCAGGAAGAACACCCGUGGCGAAGGCGGUUCUCUGGGACGGUACUGACGCUGAGACGCGAAAGCGUGGGGAGCGAACAGG
rnacentral:rRNA from 1 species